rnacentral:rRNA from 1 species
GACGAACGCUGGCGGCGUGCUUAACACAUGCAAGUCGAACGGAAAGGCCCUGCUUUUGUGGGGUGCUCGAGUGGCGAACGGGUGAGUAACACGUGAGUAACCUGCCCUUGACUUUGGGAUAACUUCAGGAAACUGGGGCUAAUACCGGAUAGGAGCUCCUGCUGCAUGGUGGGGGUUGGAAAGUUUCGGCGGUUGGGGAUGGACUCGCGGCUUAUCAGCUUGUUGGUGGGGUAGUGGCUUACCAAGGCUUUGACGGGUAGCCGGCCUGAGAGGGUGACCGGCCACAUUGGGACUGAGAUACGGCCCAGACUCCUACGGGAGGCAGCGGUGGGGAAUAGUGCACAAUGGGCGGAAGCCUGAUGCAGCAACGCCGCGUGCGGGAUGACGGCCUUCUGGUUGUAAACCGCUUUCGCCUGUGACGAAGAGUGAGUGACGGUAAUGGGUAAAGAAGCACCGGCUAACUACGUG